rnacentral:tRNA from 1 species
GUCAGGUUGGCCGAGUGGUCUAAGGCGCCAGACUUAAGUUCUGGUACUCGUAAGAGUGCGUGGGUUCGAACCCCACACCUGACA